rnacentral:rRNA from 1 species
AUUGAACGCUGGCGGCAGGCCUAACACAUGCAAGUCGAACGAGUGGCGGACGGGUGAGUAAUGUCUGGGACACUGCCUGAUGGAGGGGGAUCACUACUGGAAACGGUAUCUAAUACCGCAUUCCCUCGGAUGCGCCCAGCUGGGAUGAGCUAGUAGGCGGGGUAACGGCUCACCUAGGCCAAGCUCCCUAGCUGGUCUGAGAGGAUGACCAGCCACACUGGAACUGAGACACGGGCCAGACUCCUACGGGAGGCAGCAGUGGGGAAUAUUGCACAAUGGGCGCAAGCCUGAUGCAGCCAUGCCGCGUGUAUGAAGAAGGCCUUCGGGUUGUAAAGUACUUUCAGCGGGGAGGCGUUACCCGCAGAAGAAGCACCGGCUAACUCCGUGCCAGCAGCCGCGGUAAUAC